rnacentral:rRNA from 1 species
AGUGAACGCUGGCGGCAGGCCUAACACAUGCAAGUCGAGCGGGCAUCCUCGAAUGUCCGCGGCAGACGGGUGGCUAACACCGGGGAAGGUACCCUUCGGUUCGGAACCACUCUGGCAAAGUGGAGCUCAUACCGGAUACGCCCUUACGGGGAAAGGCUUACUGCCGUAGGAUUCGCCAGCGUGUGAUUAGCUAGUUGGUGUGGUAACGGCCUACCACGGUGACGAUCAGUAGCUGGUCUGAGAGGCCGAUCAGCCACACUGGGGCUGAGACACGGCCCAGACUCCUACGGGAGGCAGCAGUGGGGAAUAUUGGACAAUGGGCGCAAGCCUGAUCCAGCCAUGCCGGGUGAGUGAUGAAGGCCUUAGAGUUGUAAAGCUCUUUUGUCCGGGACGAUAAUGACGGUACCGGAAGAAUAAGCCCCGGCUAACUUCGUG